rnacentral:rRNA from 1 species
GACGAACGCUGGCGGCGUGCUUAACACAUGCAAGUCGAACGUGAUUUUUGUGGAAAUUCUUUCGGGAAUGGAAAUGAAAUGAAAGUGGCGAACGGGUGAGUAACACGUGAGCAACCUACCUUACACAGGGGGAUAGCCGUUGGAAACGACGAUUAAUACCGCAUGAGACAACAGAAUCGCAUGAUAUAGGGGUCAAAGAUUUAUCGGUGUAAGAAGGGCUCGCGUCUGAUUAGCUAGUUGGAAGGGUAAAGGCCUACCAAGGCAACGAUCAGUAGCCGGUCUGAGAGGAUGAACGGCCACAUUGGAACUGAGACACGGUCCAAACUCCUACGGGAGGCAGCAGUGGGGAAUAUUGCACAAUGGGGGGAAUCCUGAUGCAGCGACGCCGCGUGAGCGAAGAAGGUUUUCGAAUCGUAAAGCUCUGUCCUAUGAGAAGAUAAUGACGGUAUCAUAGGAGGAAGCCCCGGCUAAAUACGUGCCAGCAGCCGCGGUAAUACGUAUGGGGCGAGCGUUGUCCGGAAUUAUUGGGCGUAAAGGGUACGUAGGCGGUUUUUUAAGUCAGGUGUGAAAGCGUGAGGCUUAACCUCAUUAAGCACUUGAAACUGGAAGACUUGAGUGAAGGAGAGGAAAGUGGAAUUCCUAGUGUAGCGGUGAAAUGCGUAGAUAUUAGGAGGAAUACCGGUGGCGAAGGCGACUUUCUGGACUUUUACUGACGCUCAGGUACGAAAGCGUGGGGAGCAAACAGG